GAUGAACGCUGGCGGCGUGCCUAAUACAUGCAAGUCGAGCGAACAGAUGAGGAGCUUGCUCCUCUGACGUUAGCGGCGGACGGGUGAGUAACACGUGGAUAACCUACCUAUAAGACUGGGAUAACUUCGGGAAACCGGAGCUAAUACCGGAUAAUAUAUUGAACCGCAUGGUUCAAUAGUGAAAGACGGUUUUGCUGUCACUUAUAGAUGGAUCCGCGCCGCAUUAGCUAGUUGGUAAGGUAACGGCUUACCAAGGCAACGAUGCGUAGCCGACCUGAGAGGGGGAUCGGCCACACUGGAACUGAGACACGGUCCAGACUCCUACGGGAGGCAGCAGUAGGGAAUCUUCCGCAAAGGGCGAAAGCUUGACGGAGCAACGCCGCGUGAGUGAUGAAGGUCUUCGGAUCGUAAAACUCUGUUAUUAGGGAAGAACAAAUGUGUAAGUAACUAUGCACGUCUUGACGGUACCGAAUCAGAAAGCCACGGCUAACUACGUG
rnacentral:rRNA from 1 species